rnacentral:misc_RNA from 1 species
CCUUCUGCUCCCUCUGCGUUCUCUCUUCCCCGCGGAAAUUAUAUUAUAAGCAAACUCGCGCUUGUGUUUUGGCCUCGACAAACGCGUUUUGUGUUAAAAGAAGUACCGGGAACGGAGAGCGGAUAGGCCCAGACAAACGAAGACUGGGAAGGGAGGGGAAAGUGGGGUCCACAAGUGUAUCAAAACUUCACUAACUACACGUACAUAGAUUGGAUACUGCGUCUUUCUCAACUGUUUCUCUUCUCUUUCUCCAUUUCUCGUUUUUCCAUAGUUUUUCCAAUUACACAUAUUUUUUUGGAGCUCUGCUGCUUAGUUGUUUUUGGAGGAGGUGGGAUGGGGAAUUGCUUCUCCGACGAGGCCGGUGGAAAGGCGGCUGUCGGUGGCACCUCCAGUGCAGCCGGUGGCGGCGCUGCUGCUGCUGCGAAUGAUGCCAUCGAUUACUAUUUCAAGUCUCGUGGUUUCCACGGCAUCUUUUCUCAGAUCGAGGUAGUUACUUCCUUCUGCGUUUCUCCCUCGCUUUUGUAAAUAUUUUAUGUGAUUUCGUUGAUGAGCAUAGAUGAGGAUUGUUUCAUUGUAAUUGGAUCCAGAGCUACUACUUUCUAAAUUCUAUUAAUGACAAGGUUUUUGGAGUUCAUUUUGCAGAUGUUAUGCUCUGAAUUCGGAAACUCAGAGGUCUAGGAGCGGCAUUCUAUAUCUUAAUCUAUAGUAUUUUGUAAAUAGCAGUUUGGAAGUAGCUUUGAUUUUUAGCUUUUUCUUUGAGCGGUUUUUAAUCAAGAUAAAGUCACUGGGAUGCUAGACGAAGAGUUUUUAACUGAACAGAGCAGAGUGUGGGAGUGCUUUUUUAUUUUUCUUAAUAAAUAGCAUUGUAUUGACAUAAGAAUUAAUUUCAUAACUCAUGGAGUAGGACUGUAGGACCAUUGAUUGUUCAGCAUAUGAAAAUUUCUACUGCAUCUUUUGCUCGAGACAACCUUCUGUUUUAUCAAAAGCUUUUAUGGUAGAUUCUGAAAAUGUUAGGUUAAUUUUGGCGGUCAUUAUUGACUUAUUAAAGCCAUGGUUCUCCUUAAAUUAACAACUACUAUAAAAUUGGACUGGGAGUCUAAUGAUUCAUACUUCAGAGUGUUGAGCUCGGUAGGUGAUUAGUUGGGAAGAAUAUUAGACUUGAUACCAGCAACGGGAUUUUACCAAUUGAAUGCAAUUAGUAAAUUAUUUUCCUUGUUUGACCACUUGCAUCAAAUUUUAUUCCUAGCUUACUCUUUCCUUAUCUUUUCUUUUUUCCUUUACUCCUUGUAAAACCAAUAUACGUGCAGCUAUCAUUUUCGGCUACAAAGUUGCGCGACCGGGAUGUGCUAUCUAAGGUUUGUUUGCCUGACUUCUUACUACACUUUGAUCUCAAAUUUUCUUUCAUGGGCCACUAAGCGGUAUGAUUAAUCAUGAAUUUAUGGUUUGUUGUAAAAAAUUGCUUAAGUUGUGUAAAUCUUUUAUAUGCAGCUAUGUAAUUUUCCAUUGAAAACUUUUUCCCCUUUUUUUCCUGUGUUUUAAGACACCAGAUUUUAUUUGUUCUUGGGUUCUACUUUGACUGCCUUUUGCAUUUCAAUGUAAAAAUGUAUGUGGCAUACUGUUACAAUGGAUUCUUGACUAAUAUUGGGUUAUAAAAUUGAAUUCAAGAAUUCAGAAGUUGUGUGACAAUUUUUAUAUAUUUGAAAGUCAGCAUCUUAAGCCAAUAACAUAUGGCCAUGUGUACAAUGGAUUUCGUUAAAGUGGAAUUAUCUUGUAAACAUUUAGCAAAGUAAUUUACUUGUGGAAUUAAGCAUUAAGCUAUAGCCUUGAAUCAUUUUGUAGAGGUGCCAUCAUGUAAUUGUUUGUGAACCUCAUUAAUUUGAAGUACCAUUAACAUGUAGAAAUUACAUGAUCAUCUCAAUGAAUUCAUAGUGCCCUUGGCACAAAGGGUCUUGUUUGGUGAGCAUCCCUAUACACAGUUAAAAAACCAUAUUAAACUUAACCAGUAUUACAUGACUGUUGGCUAGAGACAAUCACCAAGUGUCACUUCUUGAACGGUUAAUGGAAUGGGUUUGUCUAUGUGGCCAGGAGCCUAAAGCCAGAUUAUAUUAUUAGUUACAUAAGUAAUCUUUUGAUGUGGCAAUGGAGGGAAUUACAAGUGCCCCAAGGCACUGAAGAAAAUUAUUUGGUGAGUACUGUUGAAGAGGUUAAAAUAUCAUAUUAUAUGGCAGAAUACAGGUUUGGCUUUGGUGCCAUUUUGUUAUGCCCUAAUAAUACCUAAGAAGAUUAUGGAUAACAUUAUUGUGCAAAUUAUUCUUAAUGUAAUAUCAGAUCUUUAUCCUAGAACUUAUUUUUCUCUAACAUGGCGUUAUAUCUAGUAAUUUUGGUCCUUGAAUAUGGAUUUUAUUAACUGUGCAUUAUGACUUGUCUCUUUUCAGGCACCUAAGAUAAUAAGACUAUGCUUGGCAUUAGUGUAAUCACCAUAAGUCCAUAACAUCAUCUUUAUUCAGUGCCAUUCCAAAUUCUGCUCCAGAUUCAUUAACUAUUGGGAACUUAUCAUUAGAUUCAUAGAAGGUUGGUCAACACAAGAAGUGGCAUCUAGCAUGUAGCUAUAGCUUUGAAGUUUUGGCCAUUGUAUGGUAUACUAAUUUGUCAUCCAGCAUUGCACGCCAUCUCAAUUUUUUAUUUUUUCAGUUCAUCACUUCUUCAGUCUGGGAUUAACUUGUUUGCACUGAGUCCUCGUAGAAUGAAUCUGAAGUUGCUGUGCCAAUUAGUCGAGUCAUUAUCAGAACAUUGUUAUAUUCCUGAUAAGGAGGUUUUCGUUUUAAUAUGCUUCUCUUGUACGUGGGCAGAAACUCCUCUGGAGCUUUUCUUGGCAAUAAUUUUUUAUACAUAAAAAAGGGCUAUAAAAUAAGAUUAAUUUGAAUGUUAUGAUUAACAGAGACUUUAUAUUAAAUUGUGUAAAAUGGCCCCAGAUGUUUUUACCGUUUUGAAAAUGUUUUCUAUCAUCUGUUUAUUCUCAUAUAAUUUUCUUUGCUUUAGAGUGAUCCUAUGGUGGUUGUUUAUACAAAAGCAAAAGAUGGACCACCUACUGAAGUUUUCCGCACUGAAGUAGUUCUUAAUUCAUUGAAUCCCACAUGGAUCAUGAAAUAUGCUAUCACAUUCCAGUUUGAAGUUGUACAAACUUUGCUGUUUCAUGUAUAUGACGUUGACACUCAAUUUCACAAUGUAGAUGUUAAGAUGAUCAAGCUAGAUGAGCAACAAUUUCUUGGUGAAGCGUCUUGUGCAUUGUCUGAGGUAUAACAUGAAGGCCGUUCUAAUUUACAUCAUACUUUCUUGUAGAAUUACUAGAUAAUGAGAACUUCAUUCUUCUAUUGAAAUGUGAAAUCCUGUAAUUUUAGUCUGGCAAGAGAGAUCCUUAUAUUCCAUUUUGGAGGCUGACAUCUAAUGCUAUAUUUUGUAGACCAUAGCAGAAUGUAAUGGAAUAAAGAAAAUAGAAUAAUGAAAAGGAAAUUCAUCACAUUCCAUUAUGCUCCAUAACAGUCGUACAAAACAUAUUAUAAGAAUUUAAGUACCUUCUGUUCUUAGCGACCAGGAUACAUUUAUAAAAAUUAAAAUUUGAAUUUGUUGAUAAUCUGCAUGGCUACUUUGUUUUUACUUUCCAUGCAGAUUUUGACCAAAUCAAAUAGGUCUCUGACCUUAGAUCUCGUCCAAAAAGAAGAUUCUACAAUAUCAAGCCAUCCCCAUCGUGGGCAACUUCUUGUGCAUGCUGAGGAAUGCAUUAGCUCAAAGACUACAACUGAGAUGAUAUUAAGGUGUUCAGAUUUGGAGCACAAGGAUCUGUUCUCAAGAAUUAACCCUUUCCUGGUAAUCUCAAAAACUGUUGAGAGUGGGAUCCCAAUUCCUGUGUGUAAAACAGAAGUCCUAAAGAAUGAUCACAACCCAAUAUGGAAACCAAUCUUUUUGAAUAUUCAACAAGUUGGAAGCAAGGUAAAAGGAAUAUUGCAUCUGGGGUUAGAAUCUGUAUCACCUAGCAGAAAUCCAGCAUCCUGUUGUCCACUACAUCCUUCUGAAGAAAAAUGAAUAACACAUCGUUAAUGGAAAAUGAAAUUUUAAACAGGCUUUGUGUGGACCACAAGGUUUUGGGUGGUUAUUUGAGUCCAGGGACCACUAUGCCACUGACAAUUUUACUUUAUGACAUAUGCAAACACUAAUUUCUUUGCAUUUAAAAACCAAACAAUGAAAUUGGUCCUUGCCUUUCUGUUAGCAAUCUCUUUUUCUUGUCAAUUUCAAUUAGAUAGAAACAAUAAGAUAGAAAGGGAAUGUACUAUAUCAAAAUGGAGCUCCAAAAUUGGCAAGCUUCUUCUUUGAAUGUGCAGAUUUUGUUUGAUGAUAUUUGUUGUUUAGAUUCCUUGCUUUGUCAUCUGCUUAUGGUUAAGUUCUGAGUUUUGUUUUCUGAUUCAACCUGCAGGAUAGCCCACUGGUGAUAGAGUUCUACAACUUCAAUAGUAGUGGCAAGCAUGAUUUGAUUG